GACGAACGCUGGCGGCGUGCUUAACACAUGCAAUUCGAACGAAGUGGCGAACGGGUGAGUAACGCGUAAUCAACCUGCCCUUCAGAGGGGUACAACAGUUGGAAACGACUGCUAAUACCGCAUACUCAAGGGGGGGCUUGCUUCUGAUUAGCUAGGUGGAGGGGUCACGGCCCACCAAGGCGAUGAUCAGUAGACGGUCUGGGAGGAUGAACGGCCACAGUGGGACUGAGACACGGCCCAGACUCCUACGGGAGGCAGCAGUUGGGAAUCUGCCGCAAUGGACGAAAGUCUGACGAAGCAACGCCGCUUGAGUGAUGACGGCCUUCGGGUUGUAAAGCUCUGUUAAUCGGGACGCAGUACCGGAAUAGAAAGCCACGGCUAACUACGUGCCAGCCUCCGCGGUAAUUC
rnacentral:rRNA from 1 species